CGGAUCGGAGUCUGCAACCCGACUCCGUGAAGCUGGAUUCGCUAGUAAUCGCGCAUCAGCCAUGGCACGGUGAAUACGUUCCCGGGCCUUGUACACACCGCCCGUCAAGCCAUGGGAGCCGGGGGUGCUUGAAGUGCGUCGCCGCAAGGCGCGCCCUAGAGCAAAACCGGUGACUGGGGCUAAGUCGUAACAAGGUAGC
rnacentral:rRNA from 1 species